rnacentral:rRNA from 1 species
UACAGAGGGGGCAAGCGUUGUUCGGAAUUACUGGGCGUAAAGGGCGCGUAGGCGGCCUGCUAAGUCGAACGUGAAAUCCCCGAGCUCAACUCGGGAACUGCGUCCGAUACUGACAGGCUUGAAUCCGGGAGAGGGAUGCGGAAUUCCCGGUGUAGCAGUGAAAUGCGUAGAGAUCGGGAGGAACAUCAGUUGCGAAGGCGGCCACCUGGACCAGCACUGACACUGAGGCACGAAAGCGUGGGGAGCAAACAGG